AAAUGGUUAAUAAUCUUAACCAUAUGCUAAGAGUUCCUAUAAAUUCACAGAAAAAGAUCGACAUCCUGUAGUAAAAUAGGUAAAGGAUACAAAUAACUAAUUUUUGAAAAAAAUCAAAUGCAAAUGACUUUGAAGUAUGUGGAAACGUGACCAACUUCAUUAAUAAUGAAGAAAAUGAAAUUAAAAAUGAGACUUUUUAACUUAUGCAGCUGCAGUGAUGAAGAGUGACGGUAUCCAUUAUUGGCAGAAGUGUUGGGGAAAUUGAGCGCAGAUACAAACUGAUACCAGAGUGAAAUCCGGGCAGUCUAGAUCGAAUGUUCGAAUGUCUCUACCUUCUAACCCGCAGUUACACUUCCUAGAAUUUGUCUCACAGAACUAGCAAUACUCUUCUCAGAAUCUGUCCCACAGAAAUAAUCACGUAAGUGAGCAAAGCUAAUGUGCCGCAAGGAUGCUGACCGUAGUGUUGUUCGUAAGAAGGAAGAUGGGAAACAACUCUUAGUGCCGUCAGCAGGUCAUCAGUGAAAUCGAGGACGACGCGGCUGUCCAACGGUGUACCAAGCAGCAGGAGAAAAGAAGCAGCUCCGUUUAUACCGAUGCGGAAAGAUGGCAGCAAUAGGGUCACAUGCUCCAUUAAUUCAUCUGCACGAUUUCCAGGCUGGUAUGAGGACCCAGCAACAAGCACUCCACUUCAGACAGCCAACCCUGGGGACCCACCAGGCCCUGAUCUCAGCGUACCGGGUCGCAGAGCGGGAGGAAAACCAAAGUAACACAGAGCGGCUCGGUGGCAGAAGGUGUGAUGAUAUCGAUGACGCUGGUGGUGAUGAUGACGUUGAAGAGGAAGAGGAGGAGGCAGAGGAGGAUGGUGGCGAUUUUAAGUCAGCUUAGCUAAAUAAAAGCUUUGCCUGAUGAUGGGUACGUUUGUGC
rnacentral:lncRNA from 1 species